rnacentral:rRNA from 1 species
UACGUAGGGUGCAAGCGUUAAUCGGAAUUACUGGGCGUAAAGCGUGCGCAGGCGGCUAUGCAAGGCAGAUGUGAAAUCCCCGGGCUCAACCUGGGAACUGCAUUUGUGACUGCAUGGCUAGAGUACGGUAGAGGGGGAUGGAGUUCCGCGUGUAGCAGUGAAAUGCGUAGAUAUGCGGAGGAACACCGAUGGCGAAGGCAAUCCCCUGGACCUGUACUGACGCUCAUGCACGAAAGCGUGGGGAGCAAACAGG